rnacentral:rRNA from 1 species
UACGGAGGGUGCAAGCGUUAUCCGGAUUCACUGGGUUUAAAGGGUGCGUAGGCGGACAGGUAAGUCAGUGGUGAAAUCUCUGGGCUUAACCCAGAAACUGCCGUUGAUACUAUUUGUCUUGAAUAUCCUGGAGGUAGGCGGAAUAUGUCAUGUAGCGGUGAAAUGCUUAGAUAUGACAUAGAACACCGAUAGCGAAGGCAGCUUACUACAGGAUGAUUGACGCUGAGGCACGAAAGCGUGGGAGCAAACAGG